AGAGUUUGAUCCUGGCUCAGGAUGAACGCUGGCGGCGUGCUUAACACAUGCAAGUCGAACGAAGCACUUUAUUUGAUUUCCUUCGGGACUGAUUAUUUUGUGACUGAGUGGCGGACGGGUGAGUAACGCGUGGGUAACCUGCCUUGUACAGGGGGAUAACAGUUGGAAACGGCUGCUAAUACCGCAUAAGCGCACAGCAUCGCAUGAUGCAGUGUGAAAAACUCCGGUGGUAUAAGAUGGACCCGCGUUGGAUUAGCUAGUUGGUGAGGUAACGGCCCACCAAGGCGACGAUCCAUAGCCGACCUGAGAGGGUGACCGGCCACAUUGGGACUGAGACACGGCCCAAACUCCUACGGGAGGCAGCAGUGGGGAAUAUUGCACAAUGGGCGAAAGCCUGAUGCAGCGACGCCGCGUGAGCGAAGAAGUAUUUCGGUAUGUAAAGCUCUAUCAGCAGGGAAGAUAAUGACGGUACCUGACUAAGAAGCACCGGCUAAAUACGUGCCAGCAGCCGCGGUAAUACGUAUGGGGCAAGCGUUAUCCGGAUUUACUGGGUGUAAAGGGAGCGUAGACGGACUGGCAAGUCUGAUGUGAAAGGCGGGGGCUCAACCCCUGGACUGCAUUGGAAACUGUUAGUCUUGAGUGCCGGAGAGGUAAGCGGAAUUCCUAGUGUAGCGGUGAAAUGCGUAGAUAUUAGGAGGAACACCAGUGGCGAAGGCGGCUUACUGGACGGUAACUGACGUUGAGGCUCGAAAGCGUGGGGAGCAAACAGGAUUAGAUACCCUGGUAGUCCACGCCGUAAACGAU
rnacentral:rRNA from 1 species